rnacentral:rRNA from 1 species
GACGAACGCUGGCGGCGUGCUUAACACAUGCAAGUCGAACGGAAAGGCCCUGCUUUUGUGCGGUGCUCGAGUGGCGAACGGGUGAGUAACACGUGAGUAACCUGCCCUUGACUUUGGGAUGACUUCAGGAAACUGGGGCUAAUACCGGAUAGGAUCUCCUGCUGCAUGGUGGGGGUUGGAUAGUUUCGGCGGUUGGGGAUGGACUCGCGGCUUAUCAGCUUGUUGGUGGGGUAGUGGCUUACCAAGGCUUUGACGGGUAGCCGGCCUGAGAGGGUGACCGGCCACAUUGGGACUGGGAUAAGGCACAGACUCCAAUGGGACGCAGCGGUGGGGAGUAUUACACAAUGGGAGGAAGCCUGAUGCAGCAACGCCGCGUGCGGGAUGACGGGCUGCGGGUUGUAAACCGCUUUCGCUUGUGACGAAGCGUGAGUGACGGUAAUGGGUAAAGAAGCACCGGCUAACUACGUG